AACUCCUACGGGAGGCAGCAGUGGGGAAUUUUGGACAAUGGGCGAAAGCCUGAUCCAGCAAUGCCGCGUGCAGGAUGAAGGCCUUCGGGUUGUAAACUGCUUUUGUACGGAACGAAAAAGCUCCUUCUAAUACAGGGGGCCCAUGACGGUACCGUAAGAAUAAGCACCGGCUAACUACGUGCCAGCAGCCGCGGUAAUACGUAGGGUGCGAGCGUUAAUCGGAAUUACUGGGCGUAAAGCGUGCGCAGGCGGUUAUGUAAGACAGAUGUGAAAUCCCCGGGCUCAACCUGGGAACUGCAUUUGUGACUGCAUGGCUAGAGUACGGUAGAGGGGGAUGGAAUUCCGCGUGUAGCAGUGAAAUGCGUAGAUAUGCGGAGGAACACCGAUGGCGAAGGCAAUCCCCUGGACCUGUACUGACGCUCAUGCACGAAAGCGUGGGGAGCAAACAGGAUUAGAUACCCCGGUAGUCCC
rnacentral:rRNA from 1 species